UACGUAGGGUGCAAGCGUUAAUCGGAAUUACUGGGCGUAAAGGCGUGCGCAGGCGGUGAUGUAAGACAGGUGUGAAAUCCCCGGGCUCAACCUGGGAAUGGCAUUUGGGACUGCAAGGCUUGAGUGCGGCAGAGGAGACUGGAAUUCCUGGUGUAGCAGUGAAAUGCGUAGAUAUCAGGAGGAAUACCGAUGGCGAAGGCGGUCUGCUGGGCUGACA
rnacentral:rRNA from 1 species